CUGGCGCGUGCCUAAUACAUGCAGUAGAACGCACAGUUUAUACCGUAGCUUGCUACACCAUAGACUGUGAGUUGCGAACGGGUGAGUAACGCGUAGGUAACCUGCCUGGUAGCGGGGGAUAACUAUUGGAAACGAUAGCUAAUACCGCAUAAUAUUAAUUAUUGCAUGAUAAUUGAUUAAAAGGUGCAAUUGCACCACUACCAGAUGGACCUGCGUUGUAUUAGCUAGUAGGUGAGGUAACGGCUCACCUAGGCGACGAUACAUAGCCGACCUGAGAGGGUGAUCGGCCACACUGGGACUGAGACACGGCCCAGACUCCUACGGGAGGCAGCAGUAGGGAAUCUUCGGCAAUGGACGAAAGUCUGACCGAGCAACGCCGCGUGAGUGAAGAAGGUUUUCGGAUCGUAAAGCUCUGUUGUAAGAGAAGAACGGGUGUGAGAGUGGAAAGUUCACACUGUGACGGUAUCUUACCAGAAAGGGACAGGUAACUACGUGCC
rnacentral:rRNA from 1 species